rnacentral:rRNA from 1 species
UACGUAGGGUGCAAGCGUUGUCCGGAAUUAUUGGGCGUAAAGCGUUCGUAGGCGGUUCUUCACGUCGGCUGUGAAAUCCCGAGGCUCAACCUCGGGUCUGCAGUCGAUACGGGCGGACUUGAGUACUGCAGGGGAGACUGGAAUUCCUGGUGUAGCGGUGAAAUGCGCAGAUAUCAGGAGGAACACCGGUGGCGAAGGCGGGUCUCUGGGCAGUAACUGACGCUGAGGAGCGAAAGCGUGGGGAGCGAACAGG